AUGUAUACUCGUGGCAAAAAUGAAAACUUUCCUGAAAAGGAAAAAAUCCGUUGGCAUUCCAAAUAUCUACGAAAUUGCCACCAAAGACCAUAUAAAGCCUGUUGAAAACUUCCGAGGGUUUUACUCCUUGAACUCCUGGCCGCCGUCAGACUCAGAUUCAGGCAUUUUUUCUCUUUUCAAUCAGAUUCCAAAAGCCCCUCUCGUAGCCCCCAAGCCAAAACUCGUGACUUUGAGAUGACUCCCAAAAAAAACAAAUCCAAGGUUGAAGAAGAAACUGUCACCAAUAUGUCUAUGGGCUGGCGUAAAAGCAAAAUGUCUGAAUCAUUGGUCCAGGAAUUGGAAAAUAUGGGUCUCCUCCAAGAGCAGGGCAUGAGCCAAUGGCGCGCUGGUGAAGGAGAAGAUUACCCUAUGGAAGAUAUCCUUGAAACCAUUAUGUUCCGUGAUUUUGUGGAACGUGGUCUCACUCUUCCCGUCUCAGAGUUUUUCUAUAGACUGCUUCAGUUUUGGGGAAUCUAAUUACAUAAUCUCACUCCCCAAUGCAUCUUGCAUCUUCCCAUGUUUACUCAUUUCUGUGAAGCAUUCCUUGGGAUUCUUCCCCAUUUCCACCUUUUUCAAUAUUUCUUAUUCCUUGUUCCAGUCCCUAAUGCCACCAAUCCUGCCGUCAUUGGGGGAUGUGAAUUGGUACUCCAUCCUGAGACCCGAGGCGAGUACCUAGCUUAUGAUCCAGCGGGUAAAGGAGCCGAAUGGAAGAAGUUCUGGUUCCAUGUUGGGAACUUUGAAUCUCCACUUCCAGAAAGGAUUGCUGGCGCCCCCAAGUCCAAGAAAACUGAUCGAGUAAAGGUCCUGGUGGCAAGCAAGUUGAAAUCAUUCUUCGUGUGAUUGCCAUUAUCAAAAAUAAAGGAAUCACUGGGAAUCAUGUGGUCUUCUCAUUUGUCAGUCGCCGGUUGCAACCUCUCUAGCUCCGAAAGCAUCCUCCCUUUAGAUAUGAAGGCAGACAGGAUCCCACCAGGAUGCCUCCAGAACCAAUGGCGGAAUCUGAAGUAGUCAAGAGGUGCUGCAAAGUACUCGACAACUUUGACAAGUCCUUGAUGCUUCCAACGCUCUUCUGGGCAUAAAAUCCUCCCGAGAAUACAUGGAAAAAUUAUAAGUCUUGGUAUUGUAUGCCUCCGACUUCUGUAGAUGCUGACUCUGGUGACAACAAGAAACAGAAGGUGACUCCCGGAUAUUUGUUGCAGAGAAAAGUUCCUUGUCUUGAUGCCGGCCAGAUCCAAUAUCUUCCGGCGCAUGAGAAAGAUCAAUUUCAAGACUUCCUCAACUGGAUGUCGAGUGGUUCUGAAGAAACUAGUCGGUCAGGCCCCGAGUCACCUGUAAUCGGGUUGAUCGAGACCCCAGCUGUCAGUUUGCCAAAUAUAGACACAGCUGAAAAAUCAAGCAAACCAAGCGCGCCAGCACCUGAACAUACUCCUGCGGCUGCUGAAGGAACCUCGAAUGCUGGUGGGUCUGGAAGUAGUGGGGCUGAGGGGUCGAAAGGUCCUGCCGUUCGACUAAUGCCUUUCCAGGCUAUGCCUCAGUCAACCCAAGAGGUGUUGGGGAAAGAAUUGUUUGAUGAUCCACUGUUGUCUCUAGACAACAUGAAGAAACUAGUAGACUGUAUGCAGUGGAGCUUUAAAUUUACCAAGGAUGUAGCCAAUCACUCUUUCCUAAAGUCUCAUGCUCUGUAUAAGACUGUAGACAAUCGAAAAACCUUGGAGGAGCAAAAAGCCAUGAUUGCCAAACGACUGGAUGAAUCCCUUGCUGCUCGGAAUAAGCUUUAUAAACCAAAUCGUCAGCAUCAUCUGGAGAUUUGUGAUAUGAGGUGCUAAAUCAAGAAUCUUGAAGAAGAAAGAUCAAUGCUUCAGGAAGAAAAUUCCAGGCUUCAAAAGCAAUUGCAUACUGCCCAAGCCUGUUCUCCAGAAGACCAUACUCGACUAGUAGCGGCAGCUCAAGCUCUUGUGGAUGUGGUUGAUUCUGAAGAGGAGUCAUCGAAUAUCAAGUCCUUGGUGGAGCAUUUAUAGGAAGCUCCCCAAAAGAUUUUUGAUGUCAUGACAGCUACCUACAAGAAUUACCUGACCCAUAUGAUAGGAGUUGCCAAAUCUUACUUUUCUCACUUCAACUUAGCUCCCAUAGCUAAGGGAAUAUCUCCCACUUGUUCCGAUGAAAAAUUCCGGGACUAUUGUAAGGAAUCAGAAGUGAUUGCUGAGGAAAUUCUGAAGAACAUGGCAGAGUAGACUGCUUGUAACAACUCUUGUAAUCUUCAUUGGGUUCUUGUCAUUGUUCAUAAUUUGUAUCCUGUUGGUGUGUCUUCGGAAGCAUGAUCUGGUACCGUAGGAUAAGUAUGAACUAAUUGAUCAAGCAAGUAGAAUACUCGAAUGGAGUAAUCCUUAAAGUUAAUCAUUUAGGGUGAGUCCCGUCGGACUACCCAAGUAGAGAAACUUGUAAAGGUAUCCAUAAGCUACUCGAGCAAGCAAGUAGUGUGUCCCAACCAAGGACUGGAGUAAUCCGUAAG